UUGGUGUUCACCUGGUUCGUCAACGUCCAUCACUGACAGGGUCUCAGUGGAGCCAUCUGAUUGACUGAAAUGAGAGGUUGCAUUGGUUCAUUUGAUGGUUCAGCAGCAACAACAACUUGGAGCUCAUGUGAAAGAAAGCAUGGGGAGCUCGUGGUGGAGUUGCUGCUUUCAUCUUCCUCCUCCUCCUCCUCUUCUUCACCCAUACAUCUCUUUCGACUGUUCUGCUGUCGGAGGACCUCCUCGGUGCGAAGCCUCUGGAGCUGGUUCUGCAGCAUAACGAAAAAAAUCACACUGCUUCUGUUUAAGAUCUAAUGAGAUAUAAAGUGGCUCUCCAACCUGGACAUUGCAGAUUGCAUCGAUCCAGCUUCGCCCCUGGGUGGCGCUGUUGGCUUGGAAAGUGUAGGCUGCCAC